UACGAAGGGUCCAAGCGUUAUCCGGAUUUAUUGGGUUUAAAGGGUGCGUAGGCGGCUUAUUAAGUCAGUGGUGAAAGACUUCAGCUUAACUGAAGAACUGCCAUUGAUACUGAUGAGCUUGAAUGUAGUUGAGGUGGGCGGAAUGUGUCAUGUAGCGGUGAAAUGCUUAGAUAUGCGGAGGAACACCGAUGGCGAAGGCAAUCCCCUGGGCCUGCACUGACGCUCAUGCACGAAAGCGUGGGGAGCAAACAGG
rnacentral:rRNA from 1 species